rnacentral:lncRNA from 1 species
UCUAAGCUGGCUCCUAAAGAGAAGUAAGUAAAAGUUCAUCAGAUGAAGAAUAGAAGGUGUUUUCUAGGUGGAUGGAGGAAGAGAUAUUUACAAAGCCAGGAGGUGUGAGGGAACCUCACAUUCAGGGGAAAUGCAAGAAUAUAUGGAGGACAAGAAGAUGGAAAGAGAGGGCAGUCAGAAAAAUCAGCAAGACAGAGAAAUAACCAAGAGAAAUGAGCAAAGCCCGACUGUUGUUCCUACUUUGGCCAUUGGAGCUCUUUCCAGUUAGCUUCUCUUCCUUGGACAGCUUCCAUACGUUUUUGAGCACUUCCUUAUUUCUGACACCAGAAGAUGACUCAGGCUUGACUUGUAUUCUCCCCGUCCAACAAUGGAAUCUGCCAUUUCUCCAAGGAGCCCUGAUUCCUUUUAUUUGAGCGUGGUAUUAAAGGGAGCCUAGUCUGUGUCAGCUACCAUCUGGCAGUAUGUACCAUAGUAGUGAGCAAAAUCAGUAUGAUCUCAUGGAACUUAUCAUCAAAGGAAAGGUAAGGCAAAUGACCACUAGGAAAGCACACAUGAAAGAAAUGAAAAUUGUGAUAUGUGUUAUAAAGAAAACAUAAAGAAAGCAUAAAAUGCCACAUAAAUGAUCACCGUUUUAGCACUAGUGCCUUAUAUUUCAUGAAUAUAUUGCUUGUUCUUCGUCAAAUGAGUGACAAAGUUCUCUCUUAAAGUUGUUAAUGCUAUCCAACUUACAUAACUGUAGGAAAGAGGUUCCAGAAGAGUGUUCUAGUAAAUUUCUAACAAACAUGGUCUGGAAAAAGCAUAAAAUUUAACUUUGAAAUCAUAUUUAUGAUUGUAUUGCAAGAUCUGCAUUGUCGUUGAUUUUUAUCUUUACCCUCUUUAUAUGGCUGGGACAGUAAUUCUCAAGAGGUAUUUCCUAUUGUCAAGUUAUAUUUUGCUUAAAUGACAUAAAAAUGUAUAUAAAUUUUUAAAUGCAUAUAUAAUGCAUAUGGAGUAAUGAAAAUACUGAGAAGUAAA